ACGUACCUUACUUGGUUCGCUAGGUAAGGAAGUGGCGAAAGGGUGAGUAAUAGAUAGGUAACGUACCCUGAACUUCGGGAUAGCGUUCCGAAAGGAAUGAUAAUACCGAAUAACGUUAUUUUCCUCAAGGAAGAUAACCAAAGAUUCAUCGGUUCUGGAGCGGCCUAUUUCCCAUCAGCUUGUUGGUAAGGUAACGGCUUACCAAGGCGACGACGGGUAGCGGGACUGAGAGGUUGGCCCGCCACAUCGGGACUGAGACACUGCCCGGACCUCCACGGAGGGCUGCAGUAACGAAUAUUGCGCAAUGGGCGAAAGCCUGACGCAGCGACGCCGCGUGUAGGAUGAAGCUCCUCGGAGUGUAAACUACUGUCAGGGGUUAGAAAGUCCUCGGAUUGAUCAGCCCCAGAGGAAGUCACGGCUAACUUCGUGCCAGCAGCCGCGGUAAUACGAAGGUGGCUAGCGUUGUUCGGAAUUACUGGGCUUAAAGCGCACGCAGGCGGAACAGAAAGUGUUUUGUGAAAUUCCUCGGCUUAACCGAGGAAUCGCUUGGCAAACUACUGUUCUUGAGGCAAGUAGGGGUGCAUGGAACUCUUGGUGGAGCGGUGGAAUGCGUAGAUAUCAAGAGGAACGCCAAUGGUGAAGACAGUGCACUGGGCUUGUCCUGACGCUGAGGUGCGAAAGCGUGGGGAGCGAACGGGAUUAGAUACCCCGGUAGUCCACGCCGUAAACGAUGUCUACUAGGUUGUGGCUGUUCUGACACAGGCACAGCCGAAGCAAAAGUGUAAGUAGACCGCCUGGGGAGUACGGUCGCAAGCUAAACUCAAAGGAUUGACGGGGGCUCACACAAGCGGUGGAGCAUGUGGAUUAUUCGAGCACGCGCAGAACCUACUGGUUUGACUGCUGGAUGUUGCUGAACAGUAAGCUGCCUUCGGGUGAACUUGACAGUGUGCUGCUGUCUCACUCUGCUAGA
rnacentral:rRNA from 1 species